GAGCCGCCCCUGCACUGGUUGGCUGCUGAGCCCUUUGCCUCCUCGGUUGGGGAUCCUGCGUCCAGAGGAAAUGGGCCUUGGCCAGAGGAAGGACAAAUGAAGAACUCAGGAGCCCAUAGGACCAGGACCAAGGGGGCCACUCACCCCCCAGCUUCCCUGAAGAGGAGGAGAAACAGAGGAUGGAAAAAGCCAACAGGAAGGAACUGGGCCGGACCACCUACAGGCACUCUUGGACGUCCUGGGGCAUCCUCGGUGCUGGGCUGCCGCUAAUGAUGUCGUAAGGAAAUGCACACAUGCUUCCAAGGAGAAAUACACUAAGACACGCAUCACAUCCCAGACCCCCUGGGGCAGCAGGAACUCACUGGAACUCACGUGUCCCCUGCAUUAGUAGGCAGAUUCUCAACCACUGUGCCACCAGAAGGAGCCAGCCUUACCCCUUGGAUAUCCAGCUCACACUGAAGCAGGAACCUCUUCAACUUAGGAGUCACAGACCCAGGAAGACCCUUGGCACCUCUCUGGGCAAGGCACACUAUCAGCAGAGUAAGAGACAAAGGCCCCAGGCUGCCUGGAACCCUGUUACCCCGCCGACUCCUCUACUCUCCACUCCAGCCCCCCUGGCUUCCUUCAGAUUCCUCAAGCAGGAAGUGCACUCCCACCCCUGGGCCUUUGCACCAGCUGUGCCCUCCGCCUGGAACGCUCUUCCCAUGAUGUGCACCCGGCUCACUCCCUCACCCGUCAAGCCCUUGCUCAAAUGCUACCUUCUCACUGAAGCCAACCACAGCCUCACUCUUUAUAAUGCCCCCCUCGGGGACUUCCCUGGCGGUCCAAUGGUUAAGACUCUGCGCUUCCACUGCAGGGGGCACGGGUUGGAUUCCUGGUUGGGGAACUUUUUUUUUUCUGUAGCACUUGGUACCUAAUAUACUAGCUCAGAGGUCGGUAGACUGUGGUCCAUGGCCAAAUCCAACCUGUGUCCUGCUUUUGGAUGGCCUGCAAGCUAAGAAUGGCUUUUACUGUUUAAAGGAUUCUUAACAAAAACAAAAAACAAAGGCUACGUGAGAGACCAUCGGGCUACAAAUCCUGAACACAUCACUCUCAGGCCCUUUAUAGGAAGGCCUGCCGCCCCUGAGGGUAGAUAACCUGGUCACUGUGUUCAGUGAACGUCUCCCUGCUCAGCCAUGGCCUUCGUGAGGGCCAGGAUCUAUCCCACUCACCGCUGCGUCUGCACACCUAAAACAGCGCCUGCUCAAAGAGAGUGCUCAUAAAAUAUCCGCGGAAUGAAGAAUAAGCCUCAGUUUCCUUAUCCGUAAAAUGGGGCUGAAAAUGUUUCUAUGGCAGGGCUGUCAGGGGAGCAGAUGAGACGGAGGGUGUGCCUGGCGUGGGGCAAGACCGCAGAGGGGACAAGUUACCUGGCUGAGAAGCUGUACAUGUCCAACAAGGGUUUGCAGAGCCGCCUCAGUGCCUGUGAGAACACAGCUUCAGCCCAAGACAGCAUCUGGUGGGUGGCCUGGAGCAGGUGGGGGCAGUGAGAGCCGUCAGGGCCAUCCCUGCCUGCAGGGCCGCCUCCCUCCCCCUCGCCCCACCUCACCAGCUCCAGGGCGCCCCUCGUGGCCUCCAGCGCUGCCGCGAUGGGCCCGGACCCCCAGGUCCCCGGCGUCCCGGACACCCAGGCCUGCAGCCGCUGCACGGCCUCCUCGGCCCGCUCCUGCCACACCUCGUCCAGGGGCUGCACUGUCACCUCCAAGUAGGCGUCCUUCAGCGUGGCCAGGGGCUCUGCAAAGGCAGCCACCACGCACCGUGAGGCCUCCCGGCCCUGGUGGCAGGUGAGAUGCCGCUACCCGCAUCCCCGGCCCACACAGGAAAACCAGCCCCCCGACGACCCGGGCCUCCAGGAAGGAAAUAGGGCCUGUGACCUGGAAUGAGGUGGUGGCACUAGAGACUGGAAAAGAGUUAGCCCGGCAGGCCUGAGACUGCCCGACUGCAAGGCCUGUUCACAGGUCAGCCCUGGCUGGAUUCUGGGGGGUUCCCACCAUUCCCAGACCUGAUAAGAGGGCCUCACUGUGCCUGGAUUGCACGAGCAAAGUGGUUUAUGCUGAACACCCCCUUUCCUUCUGCGAGUCUGGAAUGUUGGUCUGUGCCAGGCAGAGGCUCCUACGUGACCAGCCUCCAG